rnacentral:rRNA from 1 species
UGGGGAAUUUUGGACAAUGGGCGAAAGCCUGAUCCAGCAAUGCCGCGUGUGUGAAGAAGCCUUCGGGUUGUAAAGCACUUUUGUCGGAAAGAAAUCCUUGGCUCUAAUACAGUCGGGGGAUGACGGUACCGGAAGAAUAAGCACCGGCUAACUACGUGCCAGCAGCCGCGGUAAUACGUAGGGUGCAAGCGUUAAUCGGAAUUACUGGGCGUAAAGCGUGCGCAGGCGGUUUGCUAAGACCGAUGUGAAAUCCCCGGGCUCAACUGGGAACUGCAUUGGUGACUGGGCAGGCUAGAGUAUGGCAGAGGGGGGUAGAAUUCCACGUGUAGCAGUGAAAUGCGUAGAGAUGUGGAGGAAUACGAUGGCGAAGGCAGCCCCCCUGGGGCCAAAUACUGACGCUCAUGCACGAAAGCGUGGGGAGCAAACAGGAUUAGAUACCCUGGUAGUCCACGCCCUAAACGAUGUCAACUAGUUGUUGGGGAUUCAUUUCCUAGUAACGUAGCUAACGCGUGAAGUUGACCGCUGGGGAGUACGGUCGCAAGAUU